rnacentral:rRNA from 1 species
UACGAAGGGGGCUAGCGUUGUUCGGAAUCACUGGGCGUAAAGCGCACGUAGGCGGCUCUUUAAGUCAGGGGUGAAAUCCCGAGGCUCAACCUCGGAACUGCCUUUGAUACUGGGGAUCUCGAGUCCGGGAGAGGUGAGUGGAACUGCGAGUGUAGAGGUGAAAUUCGUAGAUAUUCGCAAGAACACCAGUGGCGAAGGCGGCUCACUGGCCCGAUACUGACGCUGAGGUGCGAAAGCGUGGGGAGCAAACAGG